GCCGGGAUGGCGAAAUUGGUAGACGCACGAGACUCAAAAUCUCGCGCCUGAAAGGGCGUGCCGGUUCGAUUCCGGCUCCCGGCACCA
rnacentral:tRNA from 1 species